rnacentral:rRNA from 1 species
AUGCUACAGUCAGGGCUUAUUACCCCCAGUUUAAGUCCUUUUGCUUCUCCUGUCCUACUGGUCAAGAAGAAGGAUGGCACCUGGAGGUUUUGUGUGGGCUAUAGAAGGUUGAAUGAGGUCACAAUUAAGAACAAAUUUCCACUGCCUGUAAUUGAUGAGCUGUUGGAUGAGUUAGGAGGAGCUAAAUGGUUUUCUAAGCUAGAUCUCAAGUCAGGAUAUCACCAAAUUCGUAUGGCCGAAGCAGAUGAGUUCAAAACAGCAUUUAAAACUCACAAUGGAAAGUACCAAUUCAAGGUAGUGCCCUUUGGCCUCUCCACAGCGCCAGCCACAUUUUAG